rnacentral:tRNA from 1 species
AAAGAAUUAGUUAAAAAAUAACAUUAAAUUGUCAUUUUAAAAUUAUUAAUAAUUAAUAUUUUUUC